rnacentral:rRNA from 1 species
GACGAACGCUGGCGGCGUGCUUAACACAUGCAAGUCGAACGGAAAGGCCCUGCUUUUGUGGGGUGCUCGAGUGGCGAACGGGUGAGUAACACGUGAGUAACCUGCCCUUGACUUUGGGAUAACUUCAGGAAACUGGGGCUAAUACCGGAUAGGAGCUCCUGCUGCAUGGGGGGGGUUGGAAAGUUUCGGCGGUUGGGGAUGGACUCGCGGCUUAUCAGCUUGUUGGUGGGGUGGUGGCGUACCAAGGCUUUGACGGGUAGCCGGCCUGAGAGGGUGACCGGCCACAUUGGGACUGAGAUACGGCCCAGACUCCUACGGGAGGCAGCAGUGGGGAAUAUUGCACAAUGGGCGGAAGCCUGAUGCAGCAACGCCGCGUGCGGGAUGACGGCCUUCGGGUUGUAACCCGCUUUCGCCUGUGACGCAGCGUGAGUGACGGUAAUGGGUAAAGAAGCACCGGCUAACUACGUG